AGUGAACGCUGGCGGUAUGCCUAACACAUGCAAGUCGAACGGCAGCACAGUAAGAUCUUGCUCUUACGGGUGGCGAGUGGCGGACGGGUGAGGAAUACAUCGGAAUCUACUUUUUCGUGGGGGAUAUCGUAGGGAAACUUACGCUAAUACCGCAUACGACCUACGGGUGAAAGCAGUGGUUCAUCGGACCUUGCGCGAUUGAUUGAGCCGAUGUCGGAUUAGCUAGUUGGCGGGGUAAAGGCCCACCAAGGCGACGAUACGUAGCUGGUCUGAGAGGAUGAUCAGCCACACUGGAACUGAGACACGGUCCAGACUCCUACGGGAGGCAGCAGUGGGGAAUAUUGGGCAAUGGGCGCAAGCCUGACCCAGCCAUACCGCGUGAGUGAAGAAGGCCUUCGGGUUGUAAAGCCCUUUUGUUGGGAAAGAAAAUCAGUAGGUUAAUACCCCGCUGUUCUGACGGUACCCAAAGAAUAAGCACCGGCUAACUUCGUG
rnacentral:rRNA from 1 species